UACGAAGGGGGCUAGCGUUGUUCGGAAUUACUGGGCGUAAAGCGCGCACAGGCGGUUCUUCAAGUCAGUGGUGAAAGCCCGGAGCUCAACUCCGGAAUUGCCAUUGAAACUGUGGAACUUGAGGAUGAGAGAGGUGAGUGGAAUUCCCAGUGUAGGAGGUGAAAUUCGUAGAUAGUUGGGAAGAACACCGGUGGCGAAGGCGGCUCACUGGCUCAUUUCUGACGCUCAGGCGCGACAGCGUGGGGAUCAAACAGG
rnacentral:rRNA from 1 species